GGGAAGAUUCGGUGAGGCGGCGGGUGUAAUAGGAUGGGGGAUAGCGUUGGUCGGAAGUACGGGGCGUAAAGGGAGGGUAGUGGGAUCGGUAAGUCGGAGGUGAAAUGCCGGGGCUAAACUGCGGAACGGCCUGUGUUACUGGCGAUUUGGGGGGUGGGAGGGGUAUGUGGAAAGCCGAGUGGAGAGGUGAAAGUCGUAGAUAUUCGGAAGAACACCAGUGGCGAAGGCGACAUACUGGCUCAUUACUGACGCUGAGGCGCGAAAGCGUGGGGAGCAAACAGGAUUAGAUACCCGGGAGUC
rnacentral:rRNA from 1 species